rnacentral:tRNA from 3 species
GGGCCGGUAGCUCAGCGGCAGAGCACCUGACUUUUAAUCAGAGGGUCGUGGGUUCGAUCCCCACCCGGCUCACCA